UACGGAGGGGGCUAGCGUUGUUCGGAAUUACUGGGCGUAAAGCGGGUGUAGGCGGCCGCACAAGUCAGAUGUGAAAUCCCUGGGCCCAACCCAGGAACUGCAUUUGAUACUGCGUGGCUAGAGUCCCGGAGAGGAUGGCGGAAUUCCAGGUGUAGAGGUGAAAUUCGUAGAUAUCUGGAGGAACACCAGCGGCGAAGGCGGCCAUCUGGACGGUGACUGACGCUCAGACCCGAAAGCGUGGGGAGCAAACAGG
rnacentral:rRNA from 1 species